rnacentral:rRNA from 1 species
UACGGGGGGGGCAAGCGUUGUUCGGAAUUACUGGGCGUAAAGGGCUCGUAGGCGGCCGCUUAAGUCAGACGUGAAAUCCCUCGGCUCAACCGGGGCACUGCGUCUGAGACUGAAUGGCUUGAAUCCGGGAGAGGGAUGCGGAAUUCCAGGUGUAGAGGUGAAAUUCGUAGAUAUUCGCAAGAACACCAGUGGCGAAGGCGGCUCACUGGCCCGAUACUGACGCUGAGGUGCGAAAGCGUGGGGAGCAAACAGG